AUUGAACGCUGGCGGCAUGCCUUACACAUGCAAGUCGAACGGCAGCACGGGAGCAAUCCUGGUGGCGAGUGGCGAACGGGUGAGUAAUAUAUCGGAACGUGCCCAGUCGUGGGGGAUAACGUAGCGAAAGCUACGCUAAUACCGCAUACGAUCUACGGAUGAAAGCGGGGGAUCGCAAGACCUCGCGCGAUUGGAGCGGCCGAUAUCAGAUUAGGUAGUUGGUGAGGUAAAGGCUCACCAAGCCGACGAUCUGUAGCUGGUCUGAGAGGACGACCAGCCACACUGGGACUGAGACACGGCCCAGACUCCUACGGGAGGCAGCAGUGGGGAAUUUUGGACAAUGGGCGCAAGCCUGAUCCAGCAAUGCCGCGUGCAGGAUGAAGGCCUUCGGGUUGUAAACUGCUUUGAACGGAACGAAACGGUGAGCUCUAAUACAGUUUGCUAAUGACGGUACCGUAAGAAUAAGCACCGGCUAACUACGUG
rnacentral:rRNA from 1 species